rnacentral:rRNA from 1 species
AACGCGAAGAACCUUACCCAGGCUUGACAUGCAAAGGACAGCGCCAGAAAUGGCGUCUUCUUUCGAGACCUUUGCACAGGUGCUGCAUGGCUGUCGUCAGCUCGUGCCGUGAGGUGUUGGGUUAAGUCCCGCAACGAGCGCAACCCUUAUCAUUAGUUGCCAACAUUUCGGAUGGGAACUCUAAUGAGACUGCCUGGGUUAACCAGGAGGAAGGUGAGGAUGACGUCAAGUCCGCAUGGCCCUUAUGUCUGGGGCUACACACGUGCUACAAUGGCCGGUACAGAAGGCAGCAAAUCCGCGAGGUAGAGCAAAUCCCAAAAACCGGUCCCAGUUCGGAUUGUAGUCUGCAACUCGACUACAUGAAGUUGGAAUUGCUAGUAAUGGCGUGUCAGCAACAACGCCGUGAAUACGUUCCCGGGCCUUGUACACACCGACGCGUA